rnacentral:rRNA from 1 species
UACGUAGGGUGCGAGCGUUAAUCGGAAUUACUGGGCGUAAAGCGUGCGCAGGCGGUUUUGUAAGCCAGAUGUGAAAUCCCCGGGCUUAACCUGGGAACUGCAUUUGGGACUGCAAGGCUAGAGUGUGGCAGAGGGGGGUAGAAUUCCUGGUGUAGCAGUGAAAUGCGUAGAUAUCAGGAGGAAUACCGAUGGCGAAGGCAGCCCCCUGGGCUAACACUGACGCUCAGGCACGAAAGCGUGGGGAGCAAACAGG